CGCUGGCGGCGUGCUUAACACAUGCAAGUCGAACGAAAAGAGGGGAAGAGCUUGCUCUUUUCAGAAUUGAGUGGCAAACGGGUGAGUAACACGUAAACAACCUGCCUUCAGGAUGGGGACAACAGACGGAAACGACUGCUAAUACCGAAUAAGUUCCAAGAGCCGCAUGGCCCAUGGAAGAAAAGGUGGCCUCUACCUGUAAGCUAUCGCCUGAAGAGGGGUUUGCGUCUGAUUAGCUGGUUGGAGGGGUAACGGCCCACCAAGGCGACGAUCAGUAGCCGGUCUGAGAGGAUGAACGGCCACACUGGAACUGAGACACGGUCCAGACUCCUACGGGAGGCAGCAGUGGGGAAUCUUCCGCAAUGGGCGAAAGCCUGACGGAGCAACGCCGCGUGAGUGAUGACGGCCUUCGGGUUGUAAAACUCUGUGAUCCGGGACGAAAAGGCAGAGUGCGAAGAACAAACUGCAUUGACGGUACCGGAAAAGCAAGCCACGGCUAACUACGUG
rnacentral:rRNA from 1 species